rnacentral:rRNA from 1 species
AUUGAACGCCGGCGGCAGGUCUAACACAUGCAAGUCGAGCGGAGCGGCGGACGGGUGAGUAAUGUCUAGGAAUCUGCCUGGUCGUGGGGGAUAACGUCAGGCAACGGGAGCUAAUACUGCACACUAUUAGAUGAGCUGAGGGCGGAUUGGCUAUUCGGUGGGGUAAAGGCCUACCAAGGCGCCGAGCCGUAACUGGUCUGAGAGGAUGAUCAGUCACCCUGGAACUGAGACACGGUCCAGGCUCCUCCGAGAGGCAGCAGUGGGGAAUAUUGGACAAUGGGCGAAAGCCUGAUCCAGCCAUGCCGCAUGUGUGAAGAAGGUCUUAGGAUUUUACAGCACUUUAAGUUGGGAGGCGUUACCAGCAGAAUAAGCACCGGCUAACUUCGUGCCAGCAGCCGCGGUAAUAC